UGAGGCUCUGACUCUGAGCCAUGUCUGAACUCUGAACUGUAAAGACUGUUGAAUAUGUGAAGCCGAUUUUUCAAAUCUAUUGUUGAAUUAGAAUCUGUCCCAAAUUAUCUUUAGCUAAUGAGCCAAAUGAUAAAAUCAUAGAUUCAUUCAAUUGGCCUUGAUCCUCAGCAAUCUUCGUUUCUUCUCGGUGUCGGUCUCGGUUUUAAAAGUGCUACUCAGUAUACUAUACCGGUACUCUUAUCGACAAAACGACUUACACGCAUCCGGGAGGCGAUGUCAGCCGAUGCCCCCACUUCGCCGCACAAUAGGCAUGAACGUUCAUGAACCAACCCCACGACAUUUAUUCCGCCAAUCCAGCCAUCCGCCAUCACUCGACAUUCGACCCAUUCCAAUCCCCAGCAACGUCAACCUGCAGAAGGA